rnacentral:rRNA from 1 species
CCCUUAGAUGUUCUGGGCCGCACGCGUGCUACACUGAGUGGAUCAGCGGGUCAGGCUGCGCGAAAGCGUUUCCUAAUCUUUAAAUCCGCUCGUGAUGGGGAUUGACGGUUGCAAUUUUCUGUCAUGAACGAGGAAUACCUUGUAAGCGCGGGUCAUCAUCCCGCGCUGAAUACGUCCCUGCCCUUUGUACACACCGCCCGUCGCUCCUACCGAUUGAAUGUUCCGAUGAAUACCAUGGACUGAGAGUAUGAAUGGGUUCGCCUAUUUCUGCUUCUCGGGAAGUGGAGUAAAUCUUAACAUUUAGAGGAAGGAGAAGUCGUAACA